GUUUCAAUAGUUAAAUUAAUAACGUAGUGCUGAAGAUACUAAAUUGAGAAAAGUUCUUGAGACA
rnacentral:tRNA from 1 species